rnacentral:sRNA from 1 species
AGCCUCAAAAAACCCCCAAAAUCGUUCACUUUUUAUCGUCUGAGACCACUUUUGAUCGUCUCUACCUCCAUCACUUCUUUGUGAACAUCUCUCGCAAAAAUAAAGCUCUGGAUAUUAAUGCGCAGGUAAUUCAAACGCCUUCUCUUGAGCCCCAUAUGCUGAUAUCAGUGUUUAUGAGGAUGCCCAAAAAACGCCAACAGUCAUUGCCCAUGAUUUCCUAUGAGUUUAACUUGUGCGAAUUUUUGACUAAAGUUGGAAAAAUGAACAAAGGCUCUUCGGGGUUUAUAAUUACAUGGCUAAAGGGCUUUUGGUCUUCCAGCACAUUUCCCCAAUGUUGUCCCAUAACGGAGGGUAUUUAUUCUUGGUUAAACUUAAAUAUUGAAAAAUUUAAUAUUCCUUCGUUUUUUCCCAAAACGAUAUAUGAUGUCACAGUACUGGUUUAUCUGCCCAACAAAGGAAUUAAGGAAAUGGUUACCAAUUUAAAAUUGGUAGCUGAGCUAAAAUAAGCAUUGUUAAAUUGGAUUGUAUUCAUUGGUUAAAUAAUUGAAUAAAACCUAUUUUUGAUGGAAAAUCUAGACCUAGUAUAUACCACCAAUGGUGUGGUAUUCAAGAUUUGCCAUCCAAAAUUUGUAUUUGU